UACGUAGGGGGCAAGCGUUGUCCGGAUUUAUUGGGCGUAAAGAGCGUGUAGGCGGCUUGGUAGGUCCGCUGUGAAAACUCGAGGCUCAACCUCGAGAUGUCGGCGGAAACCACUUGGCUAGAGUCCGGAAGAGGAGUGUGGAAUUCCUGGUGUAGCGGUGAAAUGCGCAGAUAUCAGGAAGAACACCUAUGGCGAAGGCAGCACUCUGGGACGGUACUGACGCUGAGACGCGAAAGCGUGGGGAGCGAACAGG
rnacentral:rRNA from 1 species